rnacentral:rRNA from 1 species
AUUGAACGCUGGCGACAAGCCUAACACAUGCAAGUCGAACGAGUGGCGGACGGGUGAGUAAUGUCUGGGAAACUGCCUGAUGGAGGGGGAUAACUACUGGAAACGGUAGCUAAUACCGCAUACCAUCGGAUGUGCCCAGAUGGGAUUAGCUAGUAGGUGGGGUAAAGGCUCACCUAGGCGACGAGCCCUAGCUGGUCUGAGAGGAUGACCCGCCACACUGGAACUGAGAAACGGUCCAGACUCCUACGGGAGGCAGCAGUGGGGAAUAUUGCACAAUGGGCGCAAGCCUGAUGCAGCCAUGCCGCGUGUAUGAAGAAGGCCUUCGGGUUGUAAAGUACUUUCAGCGGGGAGGCGUUACCCGCAGUAGAAGAACCGGCUAAUGACGUGCCAGCAGCCGCGGUAAUUC